rnacentral:rRNA from 1 species
AUUGAACGCUGGCGGAAUGCUUUACACAUGCAAGUCGAACGGCAGCACGGACUUCGGUCUGGUGGCGAGUGGCGAACGGGUGAGUAAUACAUCGGAACGUGCCCAAUCGUGGGGGAUAACGUAGCGAAAGCUACGCUAAUACCGCAUACGAUCCAAGGAUGAAAGCGGGGGAUCGCAAGACCUCGCGCGAAUGGAGCGGCCGAUGGCAGAUUAGGUAGUUGGUAGGGUAAAGGCCUACCAAGCCGACGAUGUGUAGCUGGUCUGAGAGGAUGAUCAGCCACACUGGGACUGAGACACGGCCCAGACUCCUACGGGAGGCAGCAGUGGGGAAUUUUGGACAAUGGACGCAAGUCUGAUCCAGCCAUUCCGCGUGCAGGAUGAAGGCCCUCGGGUUGUAAACUGCUUUUGUACAGAACGAAAAGGCUCUGGUUAAUACCUGGGGCUCAUGACGGUACUGUAAGAAUAAGCACCGGCUAACUACGUGCCAGCCGCCGCCGUAAUAC